CAUGUGCACCAUCAGCCCCACCCAGCAACAGGGGCAAAUGGAUAAUCAGCCCCACCUAACAACAUGGCCGUAUACACCAGCAGUCCCAUCUAGCAACAAAGGCAUGUGCACCACCAGUCCCGCCUAGAAACAGGGUAACAUGCACCACUAGCCCCACCUAGCAACAGGAUUACAUGCACCACAAGCCCCACCUAGGAACAAAGACACAUGUACUACCAGCCUCACCUGGCAGCAGGGUUACAUGCACCACCAGCCCACCUAGAAACAGGGGCCCUGCACCAUCUGCCUAACAUGCAUGUUGUGGGUUCCAUAACAUGGGGCCAGAAGACCAUCUAUGGCUUAUUACAUUAAUUUACAAUAUCUGUAACUAUGUGACCGGUGGCAUCAAAAGCCUGCGGUCCCUGGUUACAGCACCGCCUAUGCUGCCUGGAGGGCACCUUUGGUCAAGUAAGACUCCCUGGUACAGCUCAAUCUGCUGAACUGGAACUAUAUCCAAGUACACCUGUCAGUCAUUACAUACAAAAUUAAGUGCCUAAUAUUGUUUAAAUCCCCCCCCCCACCCGUGCCACUAAAGCAACUCUGAACUAUCGUGGCCAGGACCUCUGUGGACUUCCUGUGGUGUCUGGCACCAAGAUCCUUGCCGACCUCAGACUGAGUACCCGGCUGGAUCCUGCAGGCUGCAGCCCGAGAUCAUCUGACCCCACAUGGAGAGUUGAUAUGCCAAUACCAAGAUAUACCCCAGCAGUGCCAGUAGGCUAUUCUAUUAAGAACAGCACUCCGUCCGCAGCUAUCAGGAUACUGAAGGACCGUAUGAGCGAAAAAUUAUAUUUCCUGCUGUUCAGAAUAAGAAGCGCUCAACGACAGCCAGAGGAUGCGGCUUGGCUCUGUAAAAAAGGGUCUUGCAAAAAAUAUAUAUAGUAAAAGUAGUAUAUAAUUUAUUUAUUUGCUAGCUGAGUAUCCAGCGAUGCUCGGUGUUUCCUCCCUAAUCCUUGUUGGGGAGGAAAAUCAACAAAGGAGGAAGCAUAUCCCAUCCUCAUAUAUUCUGGGCCUGACCAAGCGUGACCAAGCAGUUUUUACCGCAAAAUGUUGCUGCACGGGCUGAACCCAUUUUCCUGUCUCUCCCUGCUCCCACUGUACUGGCGUGAUCCCUGCAUGUACCGCACCGUGAUCGAAAAAUAAAACUGGA